AAAAUCCGUUGGCUUUAUUAGACCGUGAGGGUUCAGUCCCUCUACCCCCA
rnacentral:tRNA from 1 species